AUAUCAAUAAGCGGAGGAAAAGAAACCAACAGGGAUUGCCUUAGUAGCGGCGAGUGAAGCGGCAAAAGCUCAAAUUUGAAAUCUGGCGCCUUCGGUGUCCGAGUUGUAAUUUGAAGAUUGUAACCUUGGGGUUGGCUCUUGUCUAUGUUUCUUGGAACAGGACGUCACAGAGGGUGAGAAUCCCGUGCGAUGAGAUGCCCAAUCCUAUGUAAGGUGCUUUCGAAGAGUCGAGUUGUUUGGGAAUGCAGCUCUAAGUGGGUGGUAAAUUCCAUCUAAAGCUAAAUAUUGGCGAGAGACCGAUAGCGAACAAGUACAGUGAUGGAAAGAUGAAAAGAACUUUGAAAAGAGAGUGAAAAAGUACGUGAAAUUGUUGAAAGGGAAGGGUUUGAGAUCAGACUCGAUAUUUUGUGAGCCUUGCCUUCGUGGCGGGGUGACCCGCAGCUUAUCGGGCCAGCAUCGGUUUGGGCGGUAGGAUAAUGGCGUAGGAAUGUGACUUUACUUCGGUGAAGUGUUAUAGCCUGCGUUGAUGCUGCCUGCCUAGACCGAGGACUGCGAUUUUAUCAAGGAUGCUGGCAUAAUGAUCCCAAACCGCCCGUCUUGAAACACGG
rnacentral:rRNA from 1 species